AAAUCCUUCCUAGUGCCAGAAAAGAGAGAUUUCAACUCCCACCCCUAACUCCCAAAGCUAGAAUUCUAAACUAAACUAUUUUCUG
rnacentral:tRNA from 1 species